GACGAACGCUGGCGGCGCGCUUAACACAUGCAAGUCGAACGGAAAGGCCUGCUUUCCCUUGUGAAUUGCGGGUACUCGAGUGGCGAACGGGUGAGUAACACGUGAGUGAUCUGCCCCCAACUUGGGUAUAAGCCUGGGAAACUGGGUCUAAUUCCCGAUAGGACUGCAGGGUGGUGCCUGUGGUGGAAAACGAUUUUCUAGUGGUUGGGGAUGAGCUCGCGGCCUAUCAGCUUGUUGGUGGGGUAAUGGCCUACCAAGGCGGCGACGGGUAGCCGGCCUGAGAGGGUGGACGGCCACAUUGGGACUGAGAUACGGCCCAGACUCCUACGGGAGGCAGCAGUGGGGAAUAUUGCACAAUGGGCGGAAGCCUGAUGCAGCGACGCCGCGUGGGGGAUGACGGCCUUCGGGUUGUAAACUCCUUUCGACCGCGAGGAAGCCACCUGGUUGGAAGGGUGGUGACGGUAGUGGUAGAAGAAGCACCGGCUAACUACGUG
rnacentral:rRNA from 1 species